rnacentral:rRNA from 1 species
UACAGAGGGGGCAAGCGUUAUUCGGAAUUACUGGGCGUAAAGGGCGUGUAGGUGGUUGCGUAAGUCUGGCGUGAAAUUUUUCGGCUUAACCGGGAAAGGUCGUCGGAUACUGCGUAGCUAGAGGACGGUAGAGGCGUGUGGAAUUCCGGGUGUAGUGGUGAAAUGCGUAGAGAUCCGGAGGAACACCAGUGGCGAAGGCGACACGCUGGGCCGUACCUGACACUGAUGCGCGACAGCAUGGGGAGCAAACAGG